UCGGAGUGCUUGCACUCUGUGAAACAAGAUACAGGCUAGCGGCGGACGGGUGAGUAACACGUGGGUAACCUGCCCAAGAGAUCGGGAUAACACCUGGAAACAGAUGCUAAUACCGGAUAACAACAGAUGAUGCCUAUCAACUGUUUAAAAGAUGGUUCUGCUAUCACUCUUGGAUGGACCUGCGGUGCAUUAGCUAGUUGGUAGGGUAACGGCCUACCAAGGCGAUGAUGCAUAGCCGAGUUGAGAGACUGAUCGGCCACAUUGGGACUGAGACACGGCCCAAACUCCUACGGGAGGCAGCAGUAGGGAAUCUUCCACAAUGGACGCAAGUCUGAUGGAGCAACGCCGCGUGAGUGAAGAAGGGUUUCGGCUCGUAAAGCUCUGUUGUUGGUGAAGAAGGACAGGGGUAGUAACUGACCUUUGUUUGACGGUAAUCAAUUAGAAAGUCACGGCUAACUACGUGCCAGCAGCCGCGGUAAUACGUAGGUGGCAAGCGUUGUCCGGAUUUAUUGGGCGUAAAGCGAGUGCAGGCGGCUCGAUAAGUCUGAUGUGAAAGCCUUCGGCUCAACCGGAGAAUUGCAUCAGAAACUGUCGAGCUUGAGUACAGAAGAGGAGAGUGGAACUCCAUGUGUAGCGGUGAAAUGCGUAGAUAUAUGGAAGAACACCGGUGGCGAAGGCGGCUCUCUGGUCUGUUACUGACGCUGAGGCUCGAAAGCAUGGGUAGCGAACAGGAUUAGAUACCCUGGUAGUCCAUGCCGUAAACGAUGAGUGCUAAGUGUUGGGAGGUUUCCGCCUCUCAGUGCUGCAGCUAACGCAUUAAGCACUCC
rnacentral:rRNA from 1 species